CGGACGGGUGAGUAAUAUGUAGGAAUCUACCUAGAGGAGGGGGAUAACUUGGGGAAACCCAAGCUAAUACCACAUAAGCCCUACGGGGGAAAGCAGGGGAUCGAAAGACCUUGCGCCUUAUGAUGAGCCUACAUCGGAUUAGCUAGUUGGUGGGGUAAAGGCCUACCAAGGCGACGAUCCGUAGCUGGUCUGAGAGGAUGAUCAGCCACACUGGGACUGAGACACGGCCCAGACUCC
rnacentral:rRNA from 1 species